UUCGUGCUUAUCAACUGCAGCAGAAGAAAUGGCCGGAGUGCAGUGUCUAUCUUAUUUUCAGGCUGAAAAACCUUUCAUGAUUGUCUUUGGCCAAACCAAAAUCAUAUUUAGCGCAAGAGUGGAAGUUUAUUAAAAAGCUUUAGAACAGGAAUGAAAGAAAGUAAAGUACACUUGGAAGAGGGCCGAGCGAGUGACUUGAGAGAUCAAGUGCAUGGUUUGACCUUUUGACUUGGGGUUUUAUAUGAUGGCAUGCUUCCGGGGUCUUGCUUUACUUCUGGAGCCCACUCCUGUCCUGCUCAUGCCUGACUAGCUACCUACUGCAACAGUAUUUUUGUCUCCAUUUUACCAAUUAGAAAAACGUAGUAUAAGGUCACAUGGCCAGAAAAGUGAUAAGGCUGAAUCCUGUUUUAGCUGACUC
rnacentral:lncRNA from 1 species